AUGAGAGUUUGAUCCUGGCUCAGGACGAACGCUGGCGGCGUGCCUAAUACAUGCAAGUAGGACGCACAGUUUAUACCGUAGCUUGCUACACCAUAGACUGUGAGUUGCGAACGGGUGAGUAACGCGUAGGUAACCUACCUAUUAGAGGGGGAUAACUAUUGGAAACGAUAGCUAAUACCGCAUAACAGUAUGUAACACAUGUUAGAUGCUUGAAAGAUGCAAUUGCAUCGCUAGUAGAUGGACCUGCGUUGUAUUAGCUAGUAGGUAGGGUAAUGGCCUACCUAGGCAACGAUACAUAGCCGACCUGAGAGGGUGAUCGGCCACACUGGGACUGAGACACGGCCCAGACUCCUACGGGAGGCAGCAGUAGGGAAUCUUCGGCAAUGGGGGGAACCCUGACCGAGCAACGCCGCGUGAGUGAAGAAGGUUUUCGGAUCGUAAAGCUCUGUUGUUAAGGAAGAACGAGUGUGAGAAUGGAAAGUUCAUGCUGUGACGGUACUUAACCAGAAAGGGACGGCUAACUACGUGCCAGCAGCCGCGGUAAUACGUAGGUCCCGAGCGUUGUCCGGAUUUAUUGGGCGUAAAGCGAGCGCAGGCGGUUAGAAAAGUCUGAAGUGAAAGGCAGUGGCUCAACCAUUGUAGGCUUUGGAAACUGUUUAACUUGAGUGCAGAAGGGGAGAGUGGAAUUCCAUGUGUAGCGGUGAAAUGCGUAGAUAUAUGGAGGAACACCGGUGGC
rnacentral:rRNA from 1 species